rnacentral:rRNA from 1 species
GAUGAACGCUGGCGGCGUGCCUAAUACAUGCAAGUCGAGCGAACGGACGAGAAGCUUGCUUCUCUGAUGUUAGCGGCGGACGGGUGAGUAACACGUGGAUAACCUACCUAUAAGACUGGGAUAACUUCGGGAAACCGUAGCUAAUACCGGAUAAUAUUUUGAACCGCAUGGUUCAAAAGUGAAAGACGGUCUUGCUGUCACUUAUAGAUGGAUCCGCGCUGCAUUAGCUAGUUGGUAAGGUAACGGCUUACCAAGGCAACGAUGCAUAGCCGACCUGAGAGGGUGAUCGGCCACACUGGAACUGAGACACGGUCCAGACUCCUACGGGAGGCAGCAGUAGGGAAUCUUCCGCAAUGGGCGAAAGCCUAACGGAGCAACGCCGCGUGAGUGCUGAAGGUCUUCGGAUCGUAAAACUCUGUUAUUAGGGAAGAACAUAUGUGUAAGUAACUGUGCACAUCUUGACGGUACCUAAUCAGAAAGCCACGGCUAACUACGUG